rnacentral:rRNA from 1 species
UACGUAGGCAGCGAGCGUUGUUCGGAGUUACUGGGCGUAAAGAGUGCGUAGGCGGUUUUCUAAGUUUGGUGUGAAAUCUCCCGGCUUAACUGGGAGGGUGCGCCGAAGACUGGAAGGCUUGAGUAUGGGAGAGGUAAGCGGAAUUCCCGGUGUAGCGGUGAAAUGCGCAGAUAUCGGGAGGAACACCAGUAGCGAAGGCGGCUCGCUGGGCCAUUCCUGACGCUGAGACGCGAAAGCUAGGGGAGCAAACAGGG